UACGGGGGGAGCAAGCGUUGUUCGGAUUUACUGGGCGUAAAGGGCGCGUAGGCGGUCGUGACAAGUCACUUGUGAAAUCUCCGGGCUUAACUCGGAACGGUCAAGUGAUACUGUCGGACUAGAGUACAGAAGGGGCAACUGGAAUUCUCGGUGUAGCGGUGAAAUGCGUAGAUAUCGAGAGGAACACCUGCGGCGAAGGCGGCUACCUGGACCGGAACUGACGCUGAUGCGCGAAAGCGUGGGUAGCAAACAGG
rnacentral:rRNA from 1 species